rnacentral:rRNA from 1 species
UACAGAGGGGGCGAGCGUUAUUCGGAAUUAUUGGGCGUAAAGGGCGCGUAGGCGGCUUUGCAAGUGACGGGUGAAAGCCCUCGGCUUAACCGAGGAACUGCCUGUCAGACUGUGAGGCUUGAGACCGGGAGAGGUGAGUGGAAUUCCCAGUGUAGCGGUGAAAUGCGUAGAUAUCAGGAGGAACACCGGUGGCGAAGGCGGUUCUCUGGGCCGCAACUGACGCUGAGGAGCGAAAGCAUGGGGAGCGAACAGG